rnacentral:rRNA from 1 species
GACGAACGCUGGCGGCGUGCUUAACACAUGCAAGUCGAACGGAAAGGCCCUGCUUUUGUGGGGUGCACGAGUGGCGAACGGGUGAGUAACACGUGAGUAACCUGCCCUUGACUUUGGGAUAACUUCAGGAAACUGGGGCUAAUACCGGAUAGGAGCUCCUGCUGCAUGGUGGGGGUUGGAAAGUUUCGGCGGUUGGGGAUGGACUCGCGGCUUAUCAGCUUGUUGGUGUGGUAGUGGCUUACCAAGGCUUUGACGGGUAGCCGGCCUGAGAGGGUGACCGGCCACAUUGGGACUGAGAGACGGCGCAGACUCCUACGGGAGGCAGCAGUGGGGAAUAUUGCACAAUGGGCGGAAGCCUGAUGCAGCAACGCCGCGUGCGGGAUGACGGCCUUCGGGUUGUAAACCGCUUUCGCCUGUGACGAAGAGUGAGUGACGGUAAUGGGUAAAGAAGCACCGGCUAACUACGUG